rnacentral:rRNA from 1 species
GAUGAACGCUAGCUACAGGCUUAACACAUGCAAGUCGAGGGGAAACGACAUCGAAAGCUUGCUUUUGAUGGGCGUCGACCGGCGCACGGGUGAGUAACGCGUAUCCAACCUGCCCAUCACUUGGGAAUAACCUUGCGAAAGUAAGACUAAUACCCAAUGAUAUCCCACGAAGGCAUCGGAAUGGGAUUAAAGAUUUAUCGGUGAUGGAUGGGGAUGCGUCUGAUUAGCUUGUUGGCGGGGUAACGGCCCACCAAGGCAACGAUCAGUAGGGGUUCUGAGAGGAAGGUCCCCCACAUUGGAACUGAGACACGGUCCAAACUCCUACGGGAGGCAGCAGUGAGGAAUAUUGGUCAAUGGGCGAGAGCCUGAGCCAGCCAAGUAGCGUGCAGGAAGACGGCCCUAUGGGUUGUAAACUGCUUUUAUAAGGGAAUAAAGUGGGUCACGUGUGACUUUUUGCAUGUACCUUAUGAAUAAGGACCGGCUAAUUCCGUG